rnacentral:sRNA from 1 species
GCCAGGUGUGGUGGUGCACACCUGUAAUCCCAGUGGCUCCAGAGGCUGAGACAGGAGAAUCGCGAGUUCAAAGCCUGCCUCAGCAACCAUGAGGCCCUAAGGAACUCAGUGAGACCCUGUCUCUC